CUCCACCUGGUUCUCUGUCUGGUGUUAGUGUGCUCCAUCCUGCCCCGGCAAAGGUUCUAAUUCCAUCUCUCCACCUGGUUCUCUGUCUAGUGUUAGUGUGCUCCAUCCUGCCCCGGUAAAGGUUCUAAUUCCAUCUCUCCACCUGGUUCUCUGUCUGGUGUUAGUGUGCUCCAUCCUGCCCCGGUAAAGGUUAUAAUUCCACCUCUCCACCUGGUUCGAAGUCUCAUAUCUAUGCACCCAACUAUGCCGGUGAAAAUGAUCAUAAAAAUAAACACGUUAACUAUAUAUGUAAAGAAAAUAA